GACGAACGCUGGCGGCGUGCUUAACACAUGCAAGUCGAACGGAAUCCAUGGUGUAGCAAUACACCGGAAGAUUUAGUGGCGAACGGGUGAGGAUCACGUGAGAAACGUGCCCCAGACUCUGGGAUAACAAUUGGAAACGAUUGCUAAUACCGGAUGACGUCGGAGAAUCGCAUGAUUCACUGACGAAAGAUAUUUCGGUUUGGGAGCGUCUCGCGGCCUAUCAGCUUGUUGGUGGGGUAAUGGCCUACCAAGGCAACGACGGGUAGCUGGUCUGAGAGGAUGAUCAGCCACACUGGGACUGAGACACGGCCCAGACUCCUACGGGAGGCAGCAGUGGGGAAUCUUGCGCAAUGGGCGAAAGCCUGACGCAGCAACGCCGCGUGCGGGAUGAAGGCCAGAACUUCGGGCUGUAAACCGCUUUCAGCAGGAACGAAAAUGACGGUACCUGCAGAGGAGGA
rnacentral:rRNA from 1 species